rnacentral:rRNA from 1 species
GAUGAACGCUGGCGGCGUGCCUAAUACAUGCAAGUCGAGCGAACUGAUUAGAAGCUUGCUUCUAUGACGUUAGCGGCGGACGGGUGAGUAACACGUGGGCAACCUGCCUGUAAGACUGGGAUAACUUCGGGAAACCGAAGCUAAUACCGGAUUGGAUCUUCUCCUUCAUGGGAGAUGAUUGAAAGAUGGUUUCGGCUAUCACUUACAGAUGGGCCCGCGGUGCAUUAGCUAGUUGGUGAGGUAACGGCUCACCAAGGCAACGAUGCAUAGCCGACCUGAGAGGGUGAUCGGCCACACUGGGACUGAGACACGGCCCAGACUCCUACGGGAGGCAGCAGUAGGGAAUCUUCCGCAAUGGACGAAAGUCUGACGGAGCAACGCCGCGUGAGUGAUGAAGGCUCUCGGGUCGUAAAACUCUGUUGUUAGGGAAGAACAAGUACGAGAGUAACUGCUCGUACCUUGACGGUACCUAACCAGAAAGCCACGGCUAACUACGUGCCAGCAGCCGCCGUAAGAC